UGAGAGGAGGAAAAUGUGGGAGUCAGGCGAGGAAAGAGCCUGGAAGGAGGAAGUGGGGAAAAGUUUGGAAGACAGUCGGUAACGUGAAUGAAGGAGGUGAUCCGAAGGAGUGGGAGGUGAGGGGAGCUAUGGAGCAAGGAGACACGGGAGGAGGGGGAUAGGAGAGAGUGAACGGAAAGAGGAGGUGGAGGAAAGGGAACCAGAGGGAGAUGAGUGCGGGGAGAGGGAGGGGAUAGUAGACAAGAUGGGAAGAGGAAGUGAGAAGAGGAAAGGGAGUGAAAUGAAAGUGUGGCGGGGAGGAGAGGAGGGAAUUUGGAAAGAACAAGCUAGGGAUGGAGAGAGGAGGAAAGCAAAGGGGCGAGGCGGCAGGGACUCCAGGGAGGACAGAGAGGAGGGGAAGGUGUGCUCAGGGACGCUUUCCUCCGCGGGGCUGGGGCCGCACAGCAUCCACGCACCCCUCCUCUCUGGCAGUGGGGCUGGCUCCUGGCCAGCCAGCCUGUGAGCCUCUGUUCACUGAGUGCUGUGUCUGCACCUUGCUGCCCGGAAGCACUUGCCUCCUUCUGGAGUUUGUGGUUUAUUUUCAUAAACCUGUGUUCCACACGGUGUGGGGGCAAAACACAGUGCUUUGGGGCAUUUGACAGGGGAAGCACUUGACCAAGAUGGCCAGUGUGACAGUCUGCUAAUGAGUGAAGAAGAUGGAGGUUAGGGCAGUAGCUCAGUAUCAGAGUGCUUGCUAAUCAUGCAAGGCCCUAGGUUCAGUCUCCAGCUGGCCUGGGGGAGCCCUGGCACACAUCCUUCUAAGCCUGCUUCUACUCCGUCCUACAAUAGUGAUGAUAUCACAGCAGUCAUAAUUAAUGUCACUGGACUUUCUCUAAGUGAUGCUCUCCCAAGCACAGCUUUAGUGCUGCAGCUCACUUGGCAGCCUAGGGAACUUCCCAUGCAGGUAUAAGGGCUGGCCUGGGCACGGUGGUGCAGUGUUUCAGUCACUAAAUUGUCCAGGCUGGGCUCAACUUUCUGAACUUCCACCCCAACUUUCCAGAGUGCUGGGAUUACAGGUGUGAGCCACUACACCCAAUCAGACCAUGUCACUCUCUCAUAUUUCUAGAACUGUUGGAGGUUGAAGCAGGAGGAUCAUAAAUUGGAGCCCAGCCUGGAAAACUGUUUUAGAAAGAUCCUGUCUCAAAAUUUAAAAUAAAAUAAAGGCCAUGAACUUACUCUUCAGUUAGUACUGCAACACUCACACGCAUACCAACACAUCUCAAUUCAGACAUUUCCCUGGCCUUCCCAGACCACCCUACCCAGCUGAGGUUUUCCACAGCAUCUGUUGACCUUUUACACUAGUCAACUCAUUUGUGGUCUCACUAGAGAGAGGCCUGCAGAGGAACAGGCUGUGUCCCCAGGGCCUGGUCCAGAGCCAGGUAGACCAUUUCAUGGACAUAAGUCCCAUACGUUCCAUUGCUUAUGCAGUAAUGUGACUUUGCAGCUCCAGAAUUCCAGCAAGAGGUAAAGUCUGGCUGGGAAUGGUGGCACACACCUGUAAUUCCAGCUAUUUGGGAAGCUGAGAGAGGAGGAUUGCAAAUCUGAGGCCAGCCUGGGCAAUUUAGAAAGACUUUGUCUCAAAAUUUAAAAAAACAAACAAACAAACUUUUUUUUUAAAUGUAAAGAAUAAAAGAGCUGGAGAUGUAGAACUACACACACAUACACAUACACACACUCGAGAUAUAAUCUGUUUCUCCAUCCCCUUGAAACCUAGACUGGCCUGUGACUUGCCUUAACCAACAGGAUGUGGCAAAGAUGAGGCUGUUUGCAUACCAGGGCCCCCUGUGAGAGGCCUGGCCCACUCUUUCCUUUUUUGCUCUUAUAAUGUGAUGCUCAGAAACAGUGCUGGAGGAAAGAGCACAUGGAGAGAGCCCAGGCCCCAGUCACCAUACCGUUGGAUACAGCAGCAUGAGAGACCUUGGACUCCCAGGCCUCUCCAAAUUCCAUUUUGCCCUAUCAGUGAUUUGACUCACGUGCUUUUGUCUAAGCUGGCAGUUCUCAACAAAGGCUAUACCACCCCAAAGGGAAGAGCUGUGAUGUUAGACAACUUCUUGCAUGGAGCUGGUGAAUCCCACUGUUAUGACUUGAAUAUGAAGUUAAGGGCUUGAUCCCCAAUGCUGCAGUGUUCACAGAUGAGACCUACAGAGGGGACUGGAUGUUGGGAACUCUGACUUCAUUAAUGGAUAGGACUGUUAAUGUCUGUUAUCUGUUAAUGAGUUAGAAUCUGUUAAUGAGUUCCCAGGUGAUUAAGCUGUUAGGAGGGAGGGAGGGAGGAGAUCCUAGGGGUUGCCUGUCAGGUUACAGUUUUUCUCUGGCUCCUCUGUGCGCUCUCUGCUUCCUGGUUUGAGCAGCUUCCUCCGCCACACUCUUCCCUCCUAUCUCUUCUGUGUUGAAGCCAGCUGAACUGAAACUUCUGAAGCUGUGAGCCAAAACAAACUUUUUCUCCUUCAAGCUGCAGAUGUCAGGUAUUUUGCCCUAGAAACAGAAAGGUAAUGAACGCAAACAUAGAGCGAUACCAGUGACAGGUGGUUGGAUGUUUCUGGAGGUAAAUAGCCUGUUGAUAAUGACCUGAGCCUAGAACCUAAGUCCACUUUGCAUAGAGUACAAAGCAUUUAUAGUUCAGUUUUAGUGUUACUAAGUUGUCCAGAAAUGCAACUAUCAUUGUAAUUUUUUUUUCAAAAAAAUUUUUUUUAAUCAGUACCAGGGAUCGAACUCAUGGCCACCCGCUUGCAAGGCAGGCGCUUACACCACUGAGCUAAAUCCCCAACCCCUUAUCAUUGUAAUUUGAAGGAAAAAAUAUAUAUUUUUUGUCAGAAACUUUACUAAGUAUCAUUUGCCAUUUGAAAACCCCAUGACCCAACCAUGAUGUCUGAUAGGCUCCAAUACCAACCCCGGUCAGUCUGCAUUUGUAGCUGUCAAAGUCCAAGGGACUCUGCUUUUAGAUUCUAUCACCUGACUACUUCAUUCUAUCUUCUAGUGUAAUUCUGCCUGAGCAUUUAGCAAUGGAAGUCAAAUUAGUGAAUUAUACAUUGCCUUCUUUUUA